rnacentral:rRNA from 1 species
UACGUAGGGGGCAAGCGUUGUCCGGAAUCAUUGGGCGUAAAGCGCGUGUAGGCGGGUCGGUAAGUCUGCUCUGAAAGUCCAAGGCUCAACCUUGGGAUGCGGGUGGAUACUGCCGACCUCGAGUCCGGAAGAGGCGAGUGGAAUCCUGGUGUAGCGGUGAAAUGCGCAGAUAUCAGGAGGAACACCAAUGGCGAAGGCAGCUCGCUGGGACGUGACUGACGCUGAGACGCGAAAGCGUGGGGAGCAAACAGG